AACGAACGCUGGCGGCAGGCUUAACACAUGCAAGUCGAGCGCCCCGCAAGGGGAGCGGCAGACGGGUGAGUAACGCGUGGGAAUCUACCCCUCUCUACGGAAUAACGCAUGGAAACGUGUGCUAAAACCGUAUACGUCCUUCGGGAGAAAGAUUUAUCGGAGAUGGAUGAGCCCGCGUUGGAUUAGCUAGUUGGUGGGGUAAAGGCCUACCAAGGCGACGAUCCAUAGCUGGUCUGAGAGGAUGAUCAGCCACACGUGGACUGAGAAACGGCCCAGACUCCUACGGGAGGCAGCAGUGGGGAAUAUUGGACAUUGCGCGCAAGCCUGAUCCAGCCAUGCCGCGUGAGUGAUGAAGGCCCUAGGGUUGUAAAGCUCUUUCACCGGUGAAGAUAAUGACGGUAACCGGAGAAGAAGCCCCGGCUAACUUCGUGCCAGCCGCCGCCGUAACAC
rnacentral:rRNA from 1 species